AUUGAACGCUGGCGGCAGGCCUAACACAUGCAAGUCGAGCGGUUGACGGGAGCUUGCUCCCUGAUUCAGCGGCGGACGGGUGAGUAAUGCCUAGGAAUCUUCCUAUUAGUGGGGGACAACGUUUCGAAAGGAACGCUAAUACCGCAUACGUCCUACGGGAGAAAGCAGGGGACCUUCGGGCCUUGCGCUAAUAGAUGAACCUAGGUCGGAUUAGCUUGUUGGUGAGGUAAUGGCUCACCAAGGCGACGAUCCGUAACUGGUCUGAGAGGAUGAUCAGUCACACUGGAACUGAGACACGGUCCAGACUCCUACGGGAGGCAGCAGUGGGGAAUAUUGGACAAUGGGCGAAAGCCUGAUCCAGCCAUGCCGCGUGUGUGAAGAAGGUCUUCGGAUUGUAAAGCACUUUAAGUUGGGAGGAAGGGUUGUAGAUUAAUACUCUGCAAUUUUGACGUUACCGGCAGAAUAAGCACCGGCUAACUCUGUGCCAGCAGCCGCAGUAAUAC
rnacentral:rRNA from 1 species